AGAUUAAUAAGCAAGAUAAAGAGCUUACAAAUAUUUGUUAUGUAAAGAAGGGUCGUGCCAAGUUUUUGGUAAUCUCGCUUUUAAUUCGACGAUCGAGACUCAAAUUUUGGUUGACAUUUAGAAAACCUACAAAAGCAUUGUAAACAUUAAAAACAAAAUAAAUUUUGAUCAAAAUCGUGACCAUGCCCCGUUAAUGUUCUUUAUAGGGCAAAUGUUUAUUGCAAAUAAAACUUAAUUGAAUGCGUUUCUACCUCUGCUAAUCAAUGAACUCUUCUUAAAGUAUAACUUGAUUCAAAUAUUUUAGUCUGAUGUAUUAUAAGAUCCAUCGUUUUUGAGAAUAUUUUUACACUAUUGCAAUAAACAUGUGAUAUAUCUAGUUAUACCUAUUAAACCGUGAGGGAUAUGUUUAUUCUUGAUUAUACCGUAUAAAUGACAUCCAGGUUAUUUUGCUUUCUCCUUGAAACCUUUGCUUGUACAUCAUGUAAAAAAAGAUAAUUCAUUACAUUUUCAUAUACCUGUACAAAAACAAAACCUUUCUUUAGGUUUUUGAAUUUUCAGACAUGACCUUUUCUAUCUUAAUUUUUUUUAAUGAAUUUUAGAUUCGAAACAUUUAUAUUGGCAUUGAGUUUCUAUUUUUUACAUAUACUUUGAUUAUGAUUAUCAUCUAAAAUACUAUUUAUUUAUAGAUAUGUAUAAUACCUAUUUAUGUUGUAUGAUUAAUGUAUUAUUUUAUUUUUAACUUAUUUGACUUUUGAUAUUUCAAUAAAAUCUUAUUGUUUAAAC
rnacentral:misc_RNA from 1 species